rnacentral:rRNA from 1 species
UACGUAGGGUGCAAGCGUUAAUCGGAAUUACUGGGCGUAAAGCGUGCGCAGGCGGCUUUGCAAGACAGAUGUGAAAUCCCCGGGCUUAACCUGGGAACUGCAUUUGUGACUGCAUGGCUGGAGUGCGGCAGAGGGGGAUGGAAUUCCGCGUGUAGCAGUGAAAUGCGUAGAUAUGCGGAGGAACACCGAUGGCGAAGGCAGUCCCCUGGACCUGUACUGACGCUCAUGCACGAAAGCGUGGGGAGCAAACAGG